UACGUAGGCAGCAAGCGUUGUUCGGAGUUACUGGGCGUAAAGGGUGUGUAGGCGGUUAUUUAAGUUAGGUGUGAAAGCCCCCGGCUCAACCGGGGAAUUGCGCUUAAAACUACCGUGCUAGAGGAAGACAGAGGUGAGCGGAACUUCGGGUGGAGCGGUGAAAUGCGUUGAUAUCCGAAGGAACACCGGUGGCGAAAGCGGCUCACUGGGUCUUUUCUGACGCUGAUGCACGAAAGCUAGGGGAGCAAACGGG
rnacentral:rRNA from 1 species